UUAAAGACAUUGAAGGGAUGAAAGACGGGCUUGUCUGCCUCAGAGAGCCGGCGGCUGGUGUGAGCUGGUGGAGACAUGUUCGUGGAUGACUGAUCCCGGAGUUUCCCGCCUGAAUCGGAGUAGGGCGGGACGGACGGCCCCGUUACAGGCUGAUGGUCUGAGAGGCGCGUGGAUUUCGCGGCAGAUGCCGGUGUUCCAGUUCGGUGCUUUUCGGGACCCGAGAGGGCUGUCCGGGCGACCGGCGGCUGAAUCAGGGUGGUAUCGCGUCACAACGCCCCUGAC
rnacentral:ncRNA from 1 species